rnacentral:rRNA from 1 species
UACGUAGGGUGCAAGCGUUAAUCGGAAUUACUGGGCGUAAAGCGUGCGCAGGCGGUUUUGUAAGUCUGUCGUGAAAGCCCCGGGCUCAACCUGGGAAUUGCGAUGGAGACUGCAAGGCUUGAAUCUGGCAGAGGGGGGUAGAAUUCCACGUGUAGCAGUGAAAUGCGUAGAGAUGUGGAGGAACACCGAUGGCGAAGGCAGCCCCCUGGGUCAAGAUUGACGCUCAUGAACGAAAGCGUGGGGAGCGAACAGG